rnacentral:misc_RNA from 1 species
GUACAUUCGUAGUGCUUACGCACAAUGAUAAUUUCAUUACAUUCGAGCGGGUGUAAAAAAUCCUCUGCCAGCCAAAGCCAGCAAGAGGCCAAAGGUUCACAGGGGUAUUGGAUGAAAAGCCGCCAACGUGCACUUGCCAGAGCUGGCCAGCACUGAAGACAACGAUUCGCAAUCAAUAAUGAUCCUUCCGCAGGUUCACCUACGGAAA